GGGGGUAUAGCUCAGAGGUAGAGCACUUGACUGGCAUGCAGGAGACCCUGGGUUCAAUCCCUAAUAUCACAA
rnacentral:tRNA from 1 species